rnacentral:rRNA from 1 species
UACGUAGGGCGCGAGCGUUGUCCGGAAUCAUUGGGCGUAAAGAGCUCGUAGGCGGCCUGUCGCGUCCGCUGUGAAAUCCCGGGGCUUAACCCCGGGCGUGCAGUGGAUACGGGCUGGCUGGAGGCAGGCAGGGGAGAACGGAAUUCCUGGUGUAGCGGUGAAAUGCGCAGAUAUCAGGAGGAACACCGGUGGCGAAGGCGGUUCUCUGGGCCUGUUCUGACGCUGAGGAGCGAAAGCGUGGGGAGCAAACAGG